UGGGUUUCACCGGCCAUGGGUGAACGACGGCAGCGCCCUCACACACAGCCCACACAGCUGAGCUGCCUUCACAACGUGCUGCUGAAGCUUUGUGAUCUGAUCUGAUCUGCAGUACAAAAUGGAGAACCGAAAAGCUGUCAGUUUUGGAAAUGAAAUAUUUUGUGAUCACAGUGGCCAGUACAAUGGAUGCCAACACAGUGGUGUCAUGCUCCAGAGCUACAAGUGGACAGCCUGUAGCACAUGAAGACAGCCACAGUCUACAGGCCAUAUAACCUUCCCUCCUCUUCAAAAUUCACUUGAAGUGCUGGGCAAGUUUGAAGCUCUGCUCUUCAUGAAGGAUAUGGAGGAUUUGCUGAGUGGAAGAAAGAGAAAUCUGGGCCAUGACAUGAACCACUUCUGAUCUAUGAAAGACUGGUGAAAAGAGGAGCUGUUUUCUCCCUUGGAGUUAGAAAAGUCUUUUAUUACAAUAAAUUUUAGGUUAGGCUUAACAAAAAUGUGUUGCCUAAAAUCUUACCUUCUUAGAAAGUGAUGUUAUUAUGGCAUUUUAACCAGAUGAUUUAUUAAGCCCUGUUAUACCUCUUCAUCAUUAUAAAAGACAUUUCAGUACUUUAAUUUCUUAAAUAAAAUCUUUCCAGAUGUUUUCUGCUAAUUUAGGUUGAGAUGCCAUUUCACUUCUAAGAGACUGUGAGUACUUUGAUUAUUCUAUUUUUAUUAGCAAUAUGCUAUAUGAGACUGUGUAAGUUAACAUGUACCAUCUACUCUCCACAAGGCAUUAUUAUUUUUAUACUUCAGGAUAAAGAAGGAUGAAAAUAUCCCUUUAAAGCUCCCAGUUAAAAAAAUUUUUAAUAUUUUCAUCUUCAGGAUUCAGAUUGUCAUACUUCCAGGGGUUUUUUGAAAUCAGAAAUAUAUUGUAAUGUAUUUAUAUUGGAUUACAUACAUGCAUAUGUGUGGAUUUAAGUUUCAGAGAACUGUGUAAUCCACAAGGAACCUCUGAAACCCAUAAUUCUUUCUAAUGAUCACCACUAGCUAAAAACUACCUUAAACAUGUGUGCCUAAGAGUGGUGUUGACACAUCUACAUACUGUAAAUGUAUUUUGGAAGACCUCUAAGAUAUCAAUGCAGUGAAAAAUGAGGUACAGAUGACAGUGGUAAUAGCUGAAUGGAUCGGCUACCUUCUAGAGUUUUCUGAAGGUCUGUGAAAAAUAAACCUUGUAACCUACCCUUGAAGGCUCCCUCUCUGCUCGCUGGAGCUGUUGUGUGCCAUAUCUAAUCAAGCAGUGAGUCAGUGCCAUGAGUUUAGUGGAAUACUCCACUUGGAUAUUAUCACUGAAACCAUUCAUCUUCUUUGUUGGGGCAUGAGUCACCAUGGUUGCAGAUUGUGGCAUCAUGCACAUUUCUCAUUGCUUGCUCUUCAAGUCCAUCGAUUGAAUUUGUGAUAUAAUUGUAAUGUUUUGUUAGAGGACCAUACUAUACUGAAAGUACUCCAAAGGAAAAAAAAAGAAAAGAAAGAAGAAAACAUAAUGUAACCUCACUAAAAAAAAAUCAUUAAAAUGUUUCUGAAGUGCAUCUGCUUCCUAAAACAAAGCGCAAUAUUCAUUGCCAAUAUGACAAGAACAGUGUUGGAAACACUUGCUUCCAAACAAUAGAAAAGGGAAAAAGAAAACAAUUCUCUCCAUCCUGGCCCCAUCUCAUAGAAGGACUAAAAAUCAACACUCUGUCACAGAGAGUAUGCAGGGUUGCUAAGACGUCUGCCAAAAAACUACUCAGUCAAGAGUACAAGAACAAUUCCUUCUCACCAGUGACAUUUUACAGCAAAUCCAUGAAUUCAGAGCAAAACAAGUGAAAAUUAUUUUCCAUAGCAUCCUAAAAAACACCUAAUUCAUGGAUGGCAGGAAGCAGAGUUGUAACUGGCAGACCUCUUAACUGCUAAGUGAUCAAUUUAAAAUCAUCCUGUCAGUCAAGGGAAAGCAUUAUUAAAUUGUUGCAAUAAUAAUAAUUAUUGCCUUCUAGGUGGCCCAUAUUAAUUGGCAUGUCAAAUUAAUUAAAUGAAACCCACCUACAGCAUACAAAACUGACUUAUUUCUACAAAACCACCUUGUUAUGAAAGAAAUUGCAGUUUCACCAUCAACUUUUUGUUUUAACCUUACAUACACUAGAUAAAUCCAGAAUAAGUAACAAUAGUUGUUAUGGACAUAAUAAAAUCGAGUAGAUAACUAAAGCCUGAUUGACAUAAACUCUUCUCCCUCAAGAAGAGAGAAAACAUAGUAAUUUAGAGAAGAAAGUAAGAAUGACAUUAUCAAAAGUGCUAUGAAAUAUACAAAGUAUAUGAACUGAAAAUAGAUGAGAGAGAAGUUUUUCCAUGUUUUUUUUUUUCCACUACUGUCAUUCAAGAGAUUUUUUGAGGUGUUUUGUUUUUGGUUUUGGGUUUUUUUGUGCAGUAGGAUAUAAUGUCACUGGUAUUCAACUGUUCACCCACAAAAAAAUUCAUGUUGCUUGUUGUAAAAAUAUGACAUGCUGCACCUGGAAGAACCCGCUUACAAAUGAGGCUGUCAUGCCCUUCAUUUCCCACCCUUUUUUCCGUGACACCAAACUGGAUGUUUCCUGGAUAGCGCUCUGCAGUCCCUCAGCUAAAGCUCUCCUUUGCUUCCCCACACUCUGGAUGGGACUGUGUACUCUCCAGUGCCCUCUGUGACAAUACAGGCCUUGGUCUCAGUAGUUGUUGAUAUUUGUGAGACUCCUGCAGUGCUUAAAUGGUUUCUUUACUGGAAUUUGAUAUUGCAGCUCAUGAAGAAAAUCAUUCUCGCUCUGGUUUGGUGGAAGGAUUAGCAUUUAACGUCAGUGGUCUAAACUCACUUGUGAAGAGUGAAUCAUUGCUUUUAUUGCAAGAAUAGGCCUAUUUUAAUGAGAUCAUAGCAAUCUCCAGUUUAAUAAUUACUCAUUCAAUUCAAAAUGUAUUGGUUGUAUAUAAUGGUUAUAUAUAAUUUGUUUUUAGUAAAAAAGAAAAAUCUGUGAGGAAAGGCAAUGAUGUAAAAUUAAUCUGAAGUCUAAUUUCCCUCUGAGUUACAUCAGCGCAAUCAACUGAAAUUUCAUCAGGGAGCUACUUUCAAUAAAGAGUAUCAAUAAAGAAUACUUAUAGACAUUUUAUACACCCAUAAAAUUUUUCAAGAAUGUAAAUAUGAAUAUAUACAGCAAGUCUGUUGAAUCUUAUACCUACCUGGAGAAUACACAGUAACUUUGGGGAUAAAAGUGCUAGCUGGAAAAAUAUAAAACAUCUUGAAAACCAGAGAUUUUGGCUGAGACACUCGACAAGUAUAUUCAAACCUUGCUUCUUUUCUUUAAGAGCCCAGUGAGGUGCCCAGCCUGAUUCAGAGACGCUGCACACUUGGUACAGCUAAGCACAACCAGUUCAAAGGAUUGUAUCUUGUCACUUAAUCAUUUCCUGGAGAACAUUCACAAGUAUGUAA